GAUCAUGGCUCAGGAUGAACGCUAGCUACAGGCUUAACGCAUGCAAGUCGAGGGGCAGCAUGGUCUUAGCUUGCUAAGGCCGAUGGCGACCGGCGCACGGGUGAGUAACACGUAUCCAACCUGCCGUCUACUCUUGGACAGCCUUCUGAAAGGAAGAUUAAUACAAGAUGGCGUCAUGAGUCCGCAUGUUCACAUGAUUAAAGGUAUUCUGGUAGACGAUGGGG
rnacentral:rRNA from 1 species